CUAUCGCUUACAGAUGGGCCCGCGGUGCAUUAGCUAGUUGGUAGGGUAAUGGCCUACCAAGGCAACGAUGCAUAGCCGACCUGAGAGGGUGAUCGGCCACACUGGGACUGAGACACGGCCCAGACUCCUACGGGAGGCAGCAGUAGGGAAUCUUCCGCAAUGGACGAAAGUCUGACGGAGCAACGCCGCGUGUAUGAAGAAGGUUUUCGGAUCGUAAAGUACUGUUGUUAGAGAAGAACAAGGAUAAGAGUAACUGCUUGUCCCUUGACGGUAUCUAACCAGAAAGCCACGGCUAACUACGUGCCAGCAGCCGCGGUAAUACGUAGGUGGCAAGCGUUGUCCGGAUUUAUUGGGCGUAAAGCGCGCGCAGGCGGUCUUUUAAGUCUGAUGUGAAAGCCCCCGGCUUAACCGGGGAGGGUCA
rnacentral:rRNA from 1 species